GCAACAGCUCAAAUUUGAAAUCUGGCCCCCCCGCCGGAGUUGUAAUUUGGAGAGGAUGCUUCUGGCGCGGCGCGUCCGAGUUCCUUGGAACAGGACGCCGGAGAGGGUGAGAGCCCCGUACGGACGGACGCCUAGCCUCUACGAAGCUCCUUCGACGAGUCGAGUAGUUUGGGAAUGCUGCUCAAAAUGGGAGGUAAAUUUCUUCUAAAGCUAAAUACCGGCCAGAGACCGAUAGCGCACAA
rnacentral:rRNA from 1 species